GGAGGGCUAGCCUAAUUGGUAAGGCAACGGUCUUGAAAACCGUCGGGCUUAACCGCCCUUGGGGGUUCGAGUCCCUCGCCCUCCGCCA
rnacentral:tRNA from 1 species